CUCCCUUAGAGAUGGGUGAGAAGCUCGGUCAUCCGGGAGGAGCUCGGAGUAGACCCGCUGCUCCUCCACGUCAAGAGGAGCCAGUUGAGGUGGCUCGGGCAUCUGGUAAGGAUGCCUCCUGGACGCCUCCCUAGUGAGGUUUUCCGGGCACGUCCAACUGGGAGGAGACCUAAAGGCAGACCCAGGACACGGUGGAGGGACUAUGUCUCUCACCUGGCCAGGGAACGCCUUGGGAUUCCUCCGGAGGAGCUGGCCCAAGUGGCUGGGGAGAGGAAAGUCUGGGCCACUCGCCUUAGGCUGCUGCCCCCGCGACCCGACCCAGGAUAACCGGAUGAAAAUGGAUGGAUGGAAAAUAUGAUCAAUGGGUCCUGUGACCUGAACGCAAACUCUUCUGUUAACGUGUUUUCAGAGUAAUGAAGCAGUAUUAGAACACACACACACAGCCGGAUGAAGUAGUUUCCCAGGAAUUUCUCCAGAAUCCAUCAGACUGCCCACAUGUUGAUACAAACUGAAAUUCCAUCAUUAGUCAGAAAACCGAAACGUUGCUUCGAACCACUCCGCUCGGAUCCCGGCAGACAAACCGAUUAAAGAUUUAAAAACAGCUUUUAUAAGCAAACAUCACAGUUAAAAGGCACAACAGCUCAGUUCUAAAGGUGAGGUUGUCCAAUCAGAGCCUGAAAAAUAGUCAAGAGUCAUCCGUCCAGCUCAGUGGCCGAGUGGUACAGUGGCCACCCUGGGAAUGGGAGAUCAGGGUUCAAAUCCCGGUCGGUCCAAACCAAAGACUUAAACCACCAAAUAGUUCCCGAGCGCGGCCCUGCUGCAGCGCACCGCCCUCCACGGGGAAGGGUCACGUGUGGAGAUGUCACUUCUCCAGUGUGAGGAUGACUAAUGGAACUCUAAAUAUCCAUCCAUCUGUUUUAUUCCACCUAUCCUCUGUCGGGUCACAGAAGUACCGGGUCCAGGAGGGAAACCGUCUACAGGGCAAACAGGAUCAUGGACCAGAGGCGGCCCUGGAGGAGGCUGGCUCACUCCAGGAACAAGAACUUUCCAUCAUUUAGGUGUUUGAGGCUUUUUUCAUUUCUCCUUUUUUUUAAAAAAAACACUUUUAGGUGUGAACUCAGACUUUUAUUCUUAGGUCAUUUUUUCUGGGAUUAAAUCAGAUUUUGAUCAAAACAAAAGGACUGAAACUAAACUGGGAAGUUUUUUUUCCAACUGAAUAGUUUCAGUUUUCCUCAGAAGAGUCAGAAUGGUGACGGUAAGAACCUGCGGGUCCGGACUUGUGGCCUCCUCCGCUUGUGUAGGGCCUGCCUUCCCAGGAACAGCCCCGCAGCUGAGUUCGUACUGGGCCUCUGGAAGGUUCUGGCAGGACCAAACUUCCCUAUCUGAAAGCAGUUUUGCUUCCUGCUCAUUUAGGCAUCUGAAAGUGUUUUCGCUGCUGCUGACUCACAGUUCCCAGCACCAGCUGCUCCGUUUCCUGCUCAGACCUCCACAUGGAUUUCACAACCAGCUAAAAGCAUUUCCGCAGAGUCUGAGGUCGGGUUUGGUCUCAGGGGAGGGCUUCUUCAGGAGGAAAUCUGACACGUUCUGUCUUCUGUUAGACUCAGAUCUCAACUCCAGCUAAAUCCCUCAGAGUCUCCUGGACCUCCUCAGCAGAGCAGGAAAUCUACCAGACGUCUGAGUCCAUGUUUUCUGCUGCACCUGUUUUAAUAGCGUCUGAAUCUUAGAAGUCCCUCCUCGUGGAAGGAGGUGAGAGUGGAUGCUUGGUUGGAGCUCAGAAGAAUGACGUCCUGGUUUUUGUUGCUGCUUGUGUUUGGUUGGAGCUCAGAGGAUGGACCAGCACCAGGUGUUCUGCUUUGUGGACCUCAGAACCUGACCCUCUCUGGUUUGGCCCAAUCUCUGCUGGUCACAUGGGAGGACCAUCCUUCCUGUUCCGCUCUGAGAAACCCGCUCGUCUACCAUCUGACGGUUUCUGUAGCCGAGGCACAAGUUCUUCAUGAGGUCAUCUCUGUGACCCUCGAUCAGAUCGGAUCCCCUCAUUCCUGGAACUGGACCUCGUAUUUGCCGUUGGAGUGUGCUUCUCACACCGUCAGACUCGAGCCCAAACCUGACCAGGCGUACGUCUCGUGGACAGAAGAAAAGACUCUUCCUGGAUCAAAGAGCUCCAAAGGCAGAGAAAUCCUCCCUCAGAACCAAGUGUUUGCCGUGGGCAGCGUGGCGACGUUCUGCUGCGUCGUCCCAGACGGAGAAAGGUUAUCUGAGAUGUACGUGGACUUCGCAGUCUCCAGCAUGAACGUUUCACGGAUCAGCCGCCAGAGGUACGUCCUGAAGGUCCACAUGGAACCCAACUGGGAAAACUGCGUCGACGUCAGAUGUAUAACAAACGGAACCAAAGGAAAAUACGGAGCCUGCGCUUACGUCGGAUACCCGCCUGAUGACCGAGACCUUCGGUGUGAAACCCGGGAUCUGGAAUCCGUCCAAUGCUCCUGGGAGAAAGGAAGAGACACAAACCUGGCUCUGAAGAGUCCAACAGUUUAUCGCCUGAAUGGAAGGACAUGCGAUCACGAGGGGACGUGCUCACAUGAGACAGAACCCGGGGAGAAGACCUGGACUUUAACAGCGCAGAAUCAACUCGGAAAGGUGGAACUUCAGGACACGGCGGACCUGCUGGAGAGAGUGCACAUGUACGCUCCCGAGGAAGUGACAGUUUCCCAUGUAAACUCCAGAAACGUGAGUCUUCAGUGGAGCUGGAAGGUGGAGCGGUACGGAAAUCUGAGUCUGACCUGUGAAGUAAGCGUGAGAGACGGGGAAAGAAUCGCUGAGAGCACACACUUCGGACUCGGCCUGAAUUCUGCAGUUGUAGUGAAUUUGAUCCCCAACUGGGAAUAUCACGUGAAAGUGCGAUGUGGAGCGGCUUCGCAUUUCUGGAAAUGGAGCGACUGGAGCGUGAUGAAACCCUUCCGCACUGCGGGUGACGUUCCAGAUGCUCUCAACAUCUGGAUGCAGAGGAGGAGAAACCGGACGGUGAUCCUCUGGAAGGAGCCGCUGGCCAAUCAGAGUCAUGGAGACGUCACAGAGUAUGUCGUGAGCUGGUCCAGGACCAGCGAGAGGAGUCAACAAAAGCAGACCCGAGUGCCUCUCAGCCAUCAAAAUCACACUCUAAUUCUGGACAGGAGGGAGCAACACGUUGUUAUGGUUACAGCAAAGAACCAAAACGGCAGCUCCCCCCCGUCAACCAUCAUCACCUGCAGCAUCAGCACCUGCCCAGAUGAAACCAGUGUGAAAACAUCCUGGAUCGAAGGCAGCAGCAGAAGCUUCAGCCUGUCCUGGCCUGACAGCCCAGCAGCGAGCUGUGGAUACGUGGUGGACUGGUGUCCCGUGGCCCAGGAUGCCCCCCUGGACUGGCUGAAGCUGCCCCCUAACCAGACCAGUGUCCUUUUAACAUCUGGGAACUUCAGAGACGGACUCAGAUACUCGCUGUCGAUUUACGCCUGCACUGAAGCCGCUCCUGUCCUGCUCGAGAAAAGGGAGGGUUACGUCAGAGAAACACGAAUAGAAGGACAGCUGUUUAAACCUCUGACACUCAAACAGCGAGACAUGGAUGUUGAAAUAUCCUGGGAUCGUAUUCCUCUCACAGAGCAGACUGCUUUGAUCCGUGGCUACCGUCUGUACUAUUGGGAAAACCUCAAUCAAGUCUUCAACGUGUCCACAGAUGAUCCUGAAGCCACCAGCCUGACGGCCAGACACCUGAGAGGUGCUCUGUACACGUUCACGGUGACGGCGCAGACAGCAGUGGGAGAGUGUGGCGACACAAGCAUCACCAGCACCUUGGGCUCUUCAGGUGAUGACUUGAUCCAGUCGGUCCUGAUUUCCUUGGGGGUGGUUUUUGGUUUGCUGUUCAUCGUCACCUUUCUCUGCUUCAGACACUGGACCUGCAUCAAGCGGAAGGUCUACCCUCCGAUCCCAAAGCCGGUGGUGACUGACCAGUGGUUCUCCUCCCCUGUGAAGAGCAGUAGGCCUUACCUGCCACCGGACCAGAGCCUUCACGGUGAGGGAGUGGUGGAGGUCCCUCAGCUGCUUUAUGAACACGGAGCUCCUGUGAUUUCUCACACCAAGCCCGAAGAAGAGACUCCCUACGACAAACCCGUUAAGAGCCGUGGCCGACCCGCCCGCGCCUUUCCAAACCCGCCAUACAAACUGAUGCUGAAGGAUCAUCCACCGUCCAUGACAGAACCCGACAUCCAGAACCAAACACACACGGUGACGACCGCUCAAUACAAGCCUCAGAGUCACAUGAAAGGCGUCACGCUGAGCCAGAACCAGGUGCAUUCUGGGGGUUUCAUCUCCUGUCACCCAGGCUACAUUUUGGUACCAGAACCAUCAUAGUUACAUCCUGAGCAUGAACGUCUGGAAGGGGACAACUUCAGGAGGACGGAUCGCGUGUUUGUCUACAUGUAGUUAAGUGAUUUGUGUAUUGAACACGGUGCCGGUCUGAGAUGCUCCUGAUGUGAGGAUGUGAUGGUCCAGCUGGAGAGUCCGUCUCCUGGUGGUCCAGGAAACCCUCUGGGUCUCUAAAUCCAGGCUCUUCACACAACUCCAUCUACAUGGGAUCUCCUCUCGUCAGCUAAAGGGACGGUCCUGCUUUAACACCCACUCGUGGAUCGCUUCAUCAUAAUUCCAGAUUUCAUGGUCGGACCUUCUGGCUAAUUUUAUCUUCAUGAAGUGAGCGUGUCUCCAGACCGACCCGGAGGACCACUUAGCGGCUAGCUUCCUGUCAGCUGCUAAGAUGUUAGUGUUAGCUGGGACCUUCAGCAGGAGCUGGAUUAUCCUGCUGAAAACCGGAUCAGUUAUAAUCUUCUAGAUUUGACACAAAAUAAAAAGUCCUGUAGACAACGAGGGGUUUGUGGACUAAAGACUAAAGGUUUAUUAAUGCUGUGAUUUAACAUUUGUUCAAUAAAAACACCUCGAAAAUCUAACAUGAGGCGACGGUGGCACAGGAGCUAAGUGCUCGCCCCGUAAUCAGAAGGUUGCAGGUUCAAGUCCCGCUCAGGCUGUCGCUGUCGUUGUGUCCUUGGGCAAGGCACUAAACCCCCCUUGCCCGCUGGUGGUGGUCGGAGGGACCAGUGGUACCUCUGUACGGCAGCCUUGCCCUGGGGCCCUACGAUGUAGCCACAACUGCCCUGGGGCACACUGAAUGCAUCGUGCUGUGAACGCACAGACUCGUAUGAUUGUCGAGAUGAGUCGUAAGCUUGAAACGUUGGCUGAGAUUCAGGCUCUGGCACAGAAGGUGGAUUCCAUCAAGGACAGAGUUGACGGAUCAGCACGGAUUGGAAUAGUUUGAUAAUGCCAUUAUUGGACCUGGAGGGGUUGAAGACCAACAGAACUCUAAGGCAGAGAGGACAUUAUCUCUGUCUGUACCCAAAACAAGUUCUUAUCUGAACCUGGUGCUCUUGGAGCCUGUGAGGCUGAAGUGAAAACUCCCCCCUCAGAAGUAAUGUGAAAUGCUGCCGUCGCUAUGGAAACCCUUUCUCCCUAUCUCUGCCUGGGCGGGACUGUGACCAAUGAAGGCCGUGGAACCGUAUCUAGGAGUCAAUGUGCCCUCUAACC